GGUAGAUUAGCUCAGUUGGUUAGAGCGUUGUGCUAAUAACGCGAGUGUUGUGGGUUGGAUCCCCAUAUUGGCCA
rnacentral:tRNA from 1 species